UGGGGAAUCUUGCGCAAUGGCCGAAAGGCUGACGCGGCGACGCCGCGUGUGGGAUGACGCAUUUCGGUGUGUAAACCACUGUUGCCCGGGACGAACAGCCUCUUUCGAGGGGCCUGACGGUACCGGGUGAGGAAGCACCGGCUAACUCCGUGCCAGCAGCCGCGGUAAUACGGAGGGUGCGAGCGUUGUCCGGAAUCACUGGGCGUAAAGGGCGCGUAGGUGGCGCGGGAAGUCAACGGUGAAAGUUCGGGGCUCAACCCUGAAUCGGCCGUCGAUACUCCUGGGCUCGAGCACUGUAGAGGCAGAUGGAAUUCCGGGUGUAGCGGUGGAAUGCGUAGAGAUCCGGAAGAACACCGGUGGCGAAGGCGGUCUGCUGGGCAGUUGCUGACACUGAGGCGCGACAGCGUGGGGAGCAAACAGGAUUAGAUACCCUGGUAGUCCACGCCGUAAACGAUGGGUACUAGGUGC
rnacentral:rRNA from 1 species